rnacentral:tRNA from 1 species
UGGAGCGGUGCGAGAGCGGUCGAAUCGGGCUCCCUGCUAAGGAGUUGUGCCCCGAAAGGGUACCGGGGGUUCGAAUCCCCCCUGCUCCGA